ensembl:lncRNA
AUUAAUUUAUUCACAGUAUUUUCUUUCCUUGUAUAUUUGAGUAUGUAAUUUGAACACAGUACUUACUGGAAUUAAACCUGCAAAGUGGCUGUUAAGAAAUUCUAAAGGGGGAUGAAAAAAUGGAUAUAAUGUAAAUAAUGCAGUAAAUGAUAUAAUAUAGAAUGCAAAUUGACUGUCAGGAAUUCAGGUAACAGAAGCAUGUUAUCCCUGUCCUUGAAGAACAAACCAACUGAAACCCCAAACAACUCACUAUGGAGAAUUUAUACAAAAAGCCAUGUAUUAAACCUGUGAUUUGGCUCUUCCAUCCUUUCUUUCUGUGCCUUUGUUGCUACAAUGUAGAAUAGCUAAAAAAUGAGUGUUUCAAAAUUCAGGAAAACCAAAUCUGUCUUGUUUAAGUUACUUUCACCAUUGUGUUUUAAAGUAACUUGGUUUGUAUUACAGGAAGUUAAUUCCUCUUUUGGCAUUUUGUAAUUCACUUACCUAUCUGAUAUGAAAUUUUGCCUAAUUUCACUUUUUCCUAAUCUUAUCUUUCCGUGGCCUUUUCAGUGUUUGUUCAUGCCCUGCUGGUUUGUAACGCUAGUGGUGAGCUUGCAUCUUUAAGAAAUAUGGAGGAGCACUUCAAUCCAUCUACGUUACCACUAAUACCAUAUCUACUAAAAAUGAAUUUUGUUUUUGAAAAUGCUACAAAUAGAGUCAAGAAAAGCAAAUUUACUCCACCUGCCCUCAGCCUGAAACACACAACAACGUACGUCCCGGUCAGCACUGAAGUGGCAAUGGGAUUAGCUAAAAAGAUUAUCCAAACGUUCUCGUUGAACCCAGAUCAAGCUACAUCACUGCUUCACAUAGCUCAGAUGAUGACCUCCUGUGAAAACACCAAGCCAGUGCAAGAAUGUCAGAUCUUCCCUAUCACAGUCAUACGUGGUACACAGCAAAUAAUUGUGAAAUUUGUUGUUAUUACGUCUUUGCAGAAAUGCUAAUUCUUAUAUACUGCCAGUGUUUGAGAGAAUUUAGGGAUGUUUCAUCGUGAUGAAACAGUAGUCUUGCUUCCUUAAUCAUAUAUGUACAAUUCCAGGCAGACUUAAAGGGAGAUUCUUAUAUCUAGGUAAAUGUUCACUUACUUUAAAUGUAGUGCAAAAGAUGAGCUUUAUUGAGCUGUCCCUUUGUACAGAAUAUCCUUUCAAACUCUUUUGUAAUGCCACUUUCCUCACCUACUUCAUGCAUUUCCUGAAAAUCCUUUUCCUGGAUGAGGUCGCUCUGAUAAUGAUGGUGACAUUUUAACAUCCAUUCCACCAGCACGGAGCUUCUGAUCCUUGAAUUUUCAUUCUGCCUUUUGCAGAAUUUCACAUAAGUAGAGUUCCAUCCUAGAAAAGAAUCUAUAUAAAAAAAAAAAAAGUUAUUUGUGUCUUCAGCUUAUAUCUUUUCAUAUUAACCCACUUUUUCUCAUGUAUCAACUUUGCUAAAUUGUAAUAUAAUUUUUUUCUAUUAUACAAUGUUCCUUGUUGUUUUAUACUUCCUUAAAUCUUUAUUUUAUCCCUUUUCAACACGUAUAAAAAGGCAAGGCUAGGAACAUCUUAGUUCAAAGAUUAGUUUUUUAAAAUCAGUAUUGAAAAGCAGUUACCAUAAAUGUAAGUUUUCAGAUCCUUUCAAAGUAAAUACAUCGACAAUAAUGACGCUGUUAGUGCAGGUACCACUGCACUUGAAUUGUCCAAGCUUUUAUUAGGCUGUCAGGCAUAUUAAUCU